GUGAGGAAUCUUGCGCAAUGGGGGCAACCCUGACGCAGCAACGCCGCGUGAGUGAGGAAGGUCUUCGGAUCGUAAAGCUCUGUCGGAUGGAAAGAACCGCAUAGGGGCAAACAGCCCCUGUGUCUGACGGUACCGUCAAAGGAAGCACCGGCUAACUCCGUGCCAGCAGCCGCGGUAAUACGGGGGGUGCAAGCGUUGUUCGGAAUUAUUGGGCGUAAAGAGCGUGUAGGCGGCCGGAUAUGUCAGAUGUGAAAGCCCUGGGCUUAACCCAGGAAGUGCAUUUGAAACUGUCCGGCUCGAGUAGGGGAGAGGGAAGUGGAAUUCCUGGUGUAGAGGUGAAAUUCGUAGAUAUCAGGAGGAACACCGGUGGCGAAGGCGACUUCCUGGCCCUAUACUGACGCUGAGACGCGAGAGCGUGGGUAGCAAACAGGAUUAGAAACCCCGGUAGUCC
rnacentral:rRNA from 1 species